rnacentral:rRNA from 1 species
CACGUAGGGCGCGAGCGUUGUCCGGAAUUAUUGGGCGUAAAGAGCUCGUAGGCGGUCUGUUGCGUCCGCUGUGAAAACUCGGGGCUUAACCCCGAGCCUGCAGUGGAUACGGGCAGACUAGAGGUAGGUAGGGGAGAAUGGAAUUCCCGGUGUAGCGGUGAAAUGCGCAGAUAUCGGGAGGAACACCGGUGGCGAAGGCGGUUCUCUGGGCCUUACCUGACGCUGAGGAGCGAAAGCGUGGGGAGCGAACAGG